rnacentral:rRNA from 1 species
CCUACGGGAGGCAGCAGUGGGGAAUCUUGCGCAAUGGGCGAAAGCCUGACGCAGCCAUGCCGCGUGAAUGAUGAAGGUCUUAGGAUUGUAAAAUUCUUUCACCGGGGACGAUAAUGACGGUACCCGGAGAAGAAGCCCCGGCUAACUUCGUGCCAGCAGCCGCGGUAAUACGAAGGGGGCUAGCGUUGCUCGGAAUUACUGGGCGUAAAGGGAGCGUAGGCGGAUAGUUUAGUCAGAGGUGAAAGCCCAGGGCUCAACCUUGGAAUUGCCUUUGAUACUGGCUAUCUUGAGUACGGAAGAGGUAUGUGGAACUCCGAGUGUAGAGGUGAAAUUCGUAGAUAUUCGGAAGAACACCAGUGGCGAAGGCGACAUACUGGUCCGUUACUGACGCUGAGGCUCGAAAGCGUGGGGAGCAAACAGGAUUAGAUACCCUGGUAGUCCACGCUGUAAACGAUGAGUGCUAGUUGUCGGCAUGCAUGCAUGUCGGUGACGCAGCUAACGCAUUAAGCACUCCGCCUGGGGAGUCGGUCGCAGAUUAAAACUCAAAGGAAUUGACGG